ACAGCCUGUGACACUGCAGGUUCUGAACUGGGAAGUUCAGACCCCAUUUGAUGGUUUUCCUACUUCUCUCCCUGUCCUUCUAGAUGCUGCAGGAUCAGAUCAAACAUGAACCUCUGCCCUCAAGUCUGAACAUCUGAACGUGUGGACUUAAAGCUGGUGCUCCUCAGGGAAUCAAUGAUCAAGACUUUGUCUUGCCAUCCAUUGCCAUCAUUGAGGCACUCUGUUUGACACCAAAGAAAACAUGAAAAAUGGGAAUGCAAGCUGGUGCAGCCACUCUGG